rnacentral:rRNA from 1 species
CNACCUGCCCAUAACUAGGGAAUAACCUUGCGAAAGUAAGACUAAUGCCCUAUGAUUUCCUUCGAUGACAUCUGAAAAGGAAUAAAGAUUUAUCGGUUAUGGAUGGGGAUGCGUCUGAUUAGCUUGUUGGCGGGGUAACGGCCCACCAAGGCAACGAUCAGUAGGGGUUCUGAGAGGAAGGUCCCCCACAUUGGAACUGAGACACGGUCCAAACUCCUACGGGAGGCAGCAGUGAGGAAUAUUGGUCAAUGGGCGGAAGCCUGAACCAGCCAAGUAGCGUGCAGGAUGACGGCCCUAUGGGUUGUAAACUGCUUUUAUAGGGGAAUAAAGUGAGUCUCGUGAGACUUUUUGCAUGUACCUUAUGAAUAAGGACCGGCUAAUUCCGUGCCAGCAGCCGCGGUAAUACGGAAGGUCCGGGCGUUAUCCGGAUUUAUUGGGUUUAAAGGGAGCGUAGGCCGGAGAUUAAGCGUGUUGUGAAAUGUAGACGCUCAACGUCUGCACUGCAGCGCGAACUGGUUUCCUUGAGUACGCACAAAGUGGGCGGAAUUCGUGGUGUANCGGUGAAAUGCUUANAUAUCACGAAGAACUCCGAUUG